AGGGCAUGCCGGUGGGGCCGGUGGGGUCCUGUGGGGGUGACCCAGAGCGAAGCGCCCUCCGGCGCAGAUCUUGGUUGUAG
rnacentral:rRNA from 16 species